UCCGUCCAGCGAGAUUUAGUCUUCUCUUUUCCCUCGUCGGGUGAAGAAGAAGCGCCUUUUCCGGCGCCCCGAAGGCUGUGGAGGAGAAGCCUCUCCGGGCGCGCUUGGCCCUGUUGGCGGGGCGCGUGCCUCCCGACACCCACAGCCCCUUCUUUCCUCCCGCUAUAUAAGCCCCAAAGUUUUUUUUCCCCUCCUUCGCCCCCAAUCUUCUCCCUCCUCCUGUCGCUGCUGCUCUCCCUCCUCCCCUAUCCGACUCAUAUUUCUGGGCAGCCAAUAGUGGGCUGGCCAAGCAGGCAGGAGCAGCGAAAGAAGAAGCGAGCCGGCGGCAGGCAAAAGCAGCGCCACCACCUUCUUGUUGGCGUCCCUUGAAACCCGCCACCCUCCGCGUCCCCUCAUGGCCCCCGUCGUCCCCCUCUGGCGGCGGUAGAGACUCCGAAGAGGAGCAGGAGGGGCGACAUCAAUCAAUCAAUCAAUCAAUCAUAAAAGCGUCCCUUCAGCCCAGGUGGUGCCAAGCGGGGCGGGCUGGCAGAGGAAACGCCACGACGGAAAGCGUCGCCAGCGUCGCGGAGGCUCUUCUGGGGGGUGGCUGAGGAGGGCGAAGUCCCCUGUGGAGCGCGGGAGGCGACCGGCCACUCGGGCUCGGAGGGAAUAACCAGCCGCUGCUGUGGUGGAGGUGGCGCAGGCUCCGCGAAGGCGGCUCCAGUUGGAGAGGCACUGCCCUUUGUUGGCCUACUCUGAAUAUGUUUGCUGAUGUCAAGUGAUAGGACAGAUGAUGUGAAGAGGGUGACUAAGAAGUGAGUGGAAACCUUUUAGUGCACAUAUACAAAGGGGAUAAAACAAAGAGAUAGCAGUCCAGGAUGCAACAUCCUUUCUCCAUCAGAAACUUUUGUGCAAAAAAGGAAAUAUAGUCGUUGCCACCUGAGAAUAAAAAAUUUAAUCUACAGCUUUUUAACAAUGGAAAGAAAAGCUACAGAAUGCCAUCUGACCAUGAAUCUCAACCCAGAAUCAUGAUUCCGGA